UUGACCUCGGAUCAGGUAGGACUACCCGCUGAACUUAAGCAUAUCAAUAAGCGGAGGAAAAGAAACCAACAGGGAUUGCCCCAGUAACGGCGAGUGAAGCGGCAACAGCUCAGAUUUGGAAUCUGGCCCCCAGGGCCCGAGUUGUAAUCUGGAGAGGAUGCUUCUGGCGCGGCGCCUUCCGAGUUCCCUGGAACGGGACGCCGGAGAGGGUGAGAGCCCCGUACGGUUGGACGCCUAGCCUUUGUGAAGCUCCUUCGACGAGUCGAGUAGUUUGGGAAUGCUGCUCAAAAUGGGAGGUAAAUUUCUUCUAAAGCUAAAUACCGGCCAGAGACCGAUAGCGCACAAGUAGAGUGAUCGAAAGAUGAAAAGCACUUUGAAAAGAGGGUCAAACAGUACGUGAAAUUGUUGAAAGGGAAGCGCCCGUGGCCAGACUUGUGCCCCGCGGACCACCCGGCGCCCUCAGCGCCGGUGCACUCCGCGGGGCGCAGGCCAGCAUCGGUUUUCCUAGGGGGAUAAAGGCGGCGGGAACGUGGCUCCCUCGGGAGUGUUAUAGCCCGCCGCGCCAUGCCCCUGGGGGGACCGAGGACCGCGCUUCGGCAAGGAUGCUGGCGUAAUGGCCACCGGCGACCCGUCUUGAAACACGGACCAAGGAGUCAAGCAUUGGGGCGAGUGUCUGGGUGCCAAACCCGCACGCGAAAUGAAAGUGAACGCAGGUGAGAGCUUCGGCGCAUCAUCGACCGAUCCUGAUGUUCUCGGAUGGAUUUGAGUAAGAGCCUUACCGCUUGGACCCGAAAGAUGGUGAACUAUGCCUGUAUAGGGUGAAGCCAGAGGAAACUCUGGUGGAGGCUCGCAGCGGUUCUGACGUGCAAAUCGAUCGUCAAAUAUGGGCAUGGGGGCGAAAGACUAAUCGAACCAUCUAGUAGCUGGUACCG
rnacentral:rRNA from 1 species